rnacentral:rRNA from 1 species
CCCUUCGGGGUACUCGAGCGGCGAACGGGUGAGUAACACGUGAGCAACCUGCCCCAGGCUCUGGGAUAACCCUCGGAAACGGGGGCUAAUACCGGAUAGGACCUUUCACCGCAUGGUGGGGGGUGGAAAGUUUUUUCGGCCUGGGAUGGGCUCGCGGCCUAUCAGCUUGUUGGUGGGGUGACGGCCUACCAAGGCGACGACGGGUAGCCGGCCUGAGAGGGCGACCGGCCACACUGGGACUGAGACACGACCCAGACUCCUACGGGAGGCAGCAGUGGGGAAUAUUGCACAAUGGGCGAAAGCCUGAUGCAGCGACGCCGCGUGAGGGAUGACGGCCUUCGGGUUGUAAACCUCUUUCAGCUCCGACGAAGCGCAAGUGACGGUAGGAGCAGAAGAAGCGCCGGCCAACUACGUGCCAGCAGCCGCGGUAAGACGUAGGGCGCGAGCGUUGUCCGGAUUUAUUGGGCGUAAAGAGCUCGUAGGCGGCUUGUCGCGUCGAC